rnacentral:rRNA from 1 species
GAGUUUGAUCGUGGCUCAGAUUGAACGCUGGCGGCAUGCCUUACACAUGCAAGUCGAACGGCAGCACGGGAGCUUGCUCCUGGUGGCGAGUGGCGAACGGGUGAGUAAUGCAUCGGAACGUAUCCUGGAGUGGGGGAUAACGUAGCGAAAGUUACGCUAAUACCGCAUAUUCUGUGAGCAGGAAAGCGGGGGACCUUCGGGCCUCGCGCUCUUGGAGCGGCCGAUGUCGGAUUAGCUAGUUGGUGAGGUAAAGGCUCACCAAGGCGACGAUCCGUAGCAGGUCUGAGAGGAUGAUCUGCCACACUGGAACUGAGACACGGUCCAGACUCCUACGGGAGGCAGCAGUGGGGAAUUUUGGACAAGUGGGGCAACCCUGAUCCAGCCAUGCCGCGUGAGUGAA